rnacentral:lncRNA from 1 species
UCAAACUAAAACUCUCUCAUUCAAUACACUUAUCCAAAAAAUAUUGAUUAGUGUAAGAUAUUUUUCAAAUACAAUAUAAUUGUUCAUAUUAUGAUUUCCAAAAACAAUUUAAUAAAUUAUAUGUUAAAUGGGAGAUUAGUGAAACAAAAUAGAAAUUAGAUAUAAUAAACUUAAUUUUAUUUUAUGUCACUAUAAUAUCCUCUUGAUAUGUUUAGAGGAACAAGAUGAGAGAUGCACAAAGAAUCACAUAAAAC